rnacentral:rRNA from 2 species
GAUGAACGCUAGCGGCAGGCUUAACACAUGCAAGUCGAGGGGCAGCGCGGGGCGGCAACGUCCUGGCGGCGACCGGCGGAAGGGUGCGUAACGCGUGAGCGACAUGCCCGUUGCCCGGGGACAACCGGUGGAAACGCCGACUAAUCCCCGAUGGGACGGAGGCCCUCAUGGGUCUCUGUUGAAAGUUACGGCGGCGACGGAUUGGCUCGCGUCCGAUUAGCUUGUUGGCGGGGUAACGGCCCACCAAGGCUACGAUCGGUAGGGGUUCUGAGAGGAAGGUCCCCCACAAUGGAACUGAGACACGGUCCAUACUCCUACGGGAGGCAGCAGUGAGGAAUAUUGGUCAAUGGGCGGAAGCCUGAACCAGCCAUGCCGCGUGCGGGAAGGAGGCCCUAUGGGCUGUGAACCGCUUUUGCCUGGGGGCAAUAAGGGCGUCGCGCACGUCCGAUGAGAGUACCAGGGGAAUAAGCAUCGGCUAACUCCGUGCCAGCAGCCGCGGUAAUACGGGGGAUGCGAGCGUUAUCCGGAUUCAUUGGGUUUAAAGGGUGCGUAGGCUGUGCGUCAAGUCAGGGGUGAAAUUCCGGGGCUCAACUCCGGGGCUGCCCUUGAUACUGUCGCGCUGGAGUGCGGAUGCCGCCGGAGGAAUGAGUGGUGUAGCGGUGAAAUGCUUAGAUAUCACUCAGAACACCGAUUGCGAAGGCAUCUGGCGAAUCCGUAACUGACGCUGAGGCACGAAAGCGUGGGGAUAGAACAGGAUUAGAUACCCUGGUAUUCCACGCCGUAAACGAUGAUGGCUAACCGCCGGCGACAUACUGUCGGUGGCCAAGCGAAAGCGAUAAGCCAUCCACCUGGGGAGUACGUCGGCAACGAUGCAACUCAAAGGAAUUGACGG